GAUGAUGGCAGCAGCAGCAGUCAGUGAAAGUCCACACAGAAGCACUAAAGAUAAAACAUCCACCGGAAGACUAAAUGACGUGAAGGUAGUGAAGUUCAUCAGUCUGGUGAUUUUGGUGAUCCAGAAUGUAUCGCUCAUCCUCAGCAUCAGCUACGUGUGGACGCUGUCUGAUUUCUUGGCCACGUUUGCUGUUGUGAUGGCAGAGAUUCUUAAAGUUCUUACUUGUCUGUUUAUCAUCUCGAUGCAGAGGACUGGUGAAGCAAGCUUUUAUGACAUUGCUUGGGUUGGCAGAACUGUUUCACUAUAAAUACUUGUGUAAUGUGAUAGUUGUCUUAAGAUGUUCCAUUUAAGCGAUUUUAUAGAUAUAUAUCUGUUUUGAAAUAAACAACUCUCUUGUCCAUUAUAUCAAAACUAGUGGCAAAUAUGUAUGUACUGUCUUUUUUUUGUCAAAAACAAAUAAACACUGCAAUUAUGAUAA